UACGUAGGUGGCGAGCGUUGUCCGGAUUUACUGGGCGUAAAGAGCGCGCAGGCGGUCGUUCAAGUCGCGUGUGAAAGCCCCCGGCUCAACUGGGGAGGGUCACGCGAUACUGAUCGACUCGAAGGCAGGAGAGGGUAGUGGAAUUCCCGGUGUAGUGGUGAAAUGCGUAGAUAUCGGGAGGAACACCAGUGGCGAAGGCGGCUUCCUGGACCGGUUCUGACACUGAGGAGCGAAAGCGUGGGGAGCGAUCCGG
rnacentral:rRNA from 1 species